CACAGUGACUGGAUAUCCGGCUGACUGUGAAUAUAAAUAAACAUGUGACACAGUGGCUCUCGUCAUGUCGCUCUUUUUCUUCUUCAAGGGCAAUUCGGCGCGUGUCCCUGGGUGUGUGAUUGCUGUUGUUGCUGCUACUCCUGUCCGCUGUGGCUUCAGGUCGGCGUCAUUGACCCGAUUGAUAUACGGAAUUACCAGCUGCAGGUAGGACGGCGCUUUGUCGUUAAUGAUUUCCGAGGCAACGCAAAGUGUUGUUGUGUUUUUGUCGCUGGAGGCUGCUGGGCCCACGACGCUAUUUAGCGUUGCUAUGGAGACGACGCCGAUGCAGUGAUUAGUAUAUGUCUUGGAGAGCUUAGCUGCUCUUGACAACAUCUGCAUUCUCAUGCCCAACAGGUUCUUACCAAUGGCUUUGUUUUCGUACCACGUCACGUCGCUAGUGCAGCAAUGAUCCCUUGGCCGCUGAAAAAACGCCCUGCAGAGCGGGUUCCGUUUGGACAUGUACCGAACAAAGCUGGCGUAAGGACAUUGAUCUGUGCCUGUCUCAUACAUCCGUGGCAAAGUGUCCUCGUCUGCGUCCGGACGCUUUUUGCUCAAGGCGCCGCAGCGGGACUUCUGGUACGGUCCAAGACUUUUAAAAUAGACAAACUUCCUCCUGUCCUCGUCCACAGCCAGGCCGAACGAGUCAUCCUCCAGCUCCCGUUGGUUCUCGCGGCCUCUAGUGCAAAAAUACAUACAGGUCUCGAACCAAACCUUGUUGAGGAGCCCGAAUGGUGUGUCGGUGUUGAACACAGAGGACUCAUAGAGUUUCCGCAGGUCCGAGUGUGUAAUUGCUUGUUUCUGCACCACGGGACCGGCGCCUUGCUCCUCCAGCCUUCGUAUGACUGCGGCAAGCGUCAGGUUGGCACUGCGCAGCUCGGGGUCUUUGGUGAGGUCCAAAGUGCGACAGUAGGGCGGCUCGUUAAGGUACCGAUUCAGCGAGCUCCGGAUGCUGAUAAGAGACGACUUGCUGUAUAAAUGUCCACUCUUUGAGCGCGCCUCUCCGUAAAAGGAGCGCAGCACCUCGCAGAGUGCAGCCUUGUCCAGAGUUUCAAAGUCUGGGCUUCGAGCUGUCUCACACAGUUGAGAAUCCAGCCCAGCGGGAAUGCUGCUGUUAAAGGGGUCCGCCUCUCGCGCUUGUUCCCCGCGGUCCGUACGCCGCACAACGACGGCUCCUGUAUGCUCGACCGAACCACUGUAGUCUAAAACUACGCUCCCUGACACCAGUUCCAGCUCCACGCCUUUGCCAUCGGACUCUUCGUUCUCCACUUCCCCGGUGAUCUGGACCUCUUGGAUGUCACCUUCAUCUUCCUUCUCGUCAUCCUUGCGCUUCAUGGGGCAGCUCUUUGGCUCCUGUUCAGUGUCUCCGCUGCCAGGGAUUUUCGCCAUAUUGCGAAAUUGGCGUCUACGAACAGGAUCCUGCGGCAGGUCGUCUGGAUGGCGUGAUCAGGGACGAUGGUCCUCCAAACCUCUACAGCUGUUCUGAGUGGGAGGACUGCUCACCCGUCUGGAUCGCCUCUGACGAGAUCCAACGAACUCAAAAUCCAACCUUUAUUCGGCCCGAUACUGGUUGAAACAACAGGAGAGGCUUCAGACGUGAUCGGCCCAAAAGAGCUGCAUUCGAGGAUCCAGGAAAGGUCUGUCAUCGAGGAACAACUGUCCCAUCUACGUCAGGCUCCACCCACUGGCGCUCACAUCAGACUGAUGGUUGGGGAAGGAGGAAGGUGACGGUUCCUUUUUCACGUGACGUAGAAAACAGUACCGCAAACACACACGCAAACAUUCAUACACGCAAUGAAGAAACACCCUUAGGGCUGAUACACGCUCAAAUUCAUGUUCAUGCUUAUCUGCUUGCAAUGAAGAAUCGCUUUUUGCUCAAAACAUCCCAGAGUGAUUUUAAAAUGAUGACAAACAGCUAAAUGACAACUGCUGCAUGACUUUACAGUCUGAUGGGUUUAAACUAUUUCAAUUUGCAACAAAUUCAGUAAUAAAAUCCAUGUUUCUAAAAAGAUUUGUGCACAAUAUAAGUUUGUCUGGCCAGACUGUAGAAAACAAAACAGACUGUAGAAAAAAAAACAGACUAUAGGAAGACUGAAACUGACUGAAAAAGACUAUUAAAGGGAAGACGACUAUUAGAGAGAAGUAAUAAUAAUUACUGUACGUACCAGACUAUAAAAGGAAAAACUUAUUCUUUCACCGUCUUGUGCAACAUCUGACAGCAAGACACAAAGAUUUAUUGUUGCUUUCAAACUUAUGCCCAGUUAAAUUUUUAGGAAGAGAUCUCAUGUGUAGUUUAGGUAUUUGAUUGAUUUCCACUCCAGACGGGGUGCAGGUUACAUCUACAGACAUUCCAAAUAAUCCCUCUUUUGUUGCUGUUAACUUCAGCUCAGCUGUACUCUUAUCAGUGGCUGUGGAGGGGGGGCUGUAACUGAGGCCCUCACACAGGCUGCAUCACAGCUUGUUUCCAUGUGAUACGACCUCUAGAGACGCAUCUGACCUGUCCUGUACAGCACAUGUGUCUUCUGGUCCUGAUGAGAGGUUUGAAGAGUUAUGAUUUCACACACACACUGACAAACUGACCUCAACUUUCCUCUUCUGGGAUGAACACAGGUCUGCGCUUGCGAUUUCUUUUACUAACGAACAAAACGAUUUUUAUUUUUAUUCUACAGUUCCACACGUCCCUCUGUGAAAACAUGAUGGAGACAGAUGACAGGACGUGGAUCCUUUUGUGAACAGAUGUCAACGGGGUGGAGACUGGUGAACAACGUCUGACCUCAUGUGACGUAUUUACCCACAAUACAUGCUUUUGUUUUUGUUUUUAUUUUUAUUUUAUCAGAGGAUGCUCUGAGCCAACACUCAGCCUUACAGGAAGCCCCUGCUUCCCUGUGACUCACACACAGAUAUGAUGUAGGUUUGAUCAGAGGAUGUGAACCAGUGGUCAUCACACCUAAAUCUGACCACAGACCAUGUAAACAACAACACCCUCUUAAAAGAAGUCAUAGAUGGUGUUACUGCAGACACCACUAAGCUACUGAAACAUUGGAUGCUACAGGCCACAAAGAGAGCCUAACUAAAUUACAGUUUGUUCAGACUAAGGUUAUUUUCUGGGUCAUUGUUGGGUGAGAUGGAUUUGCCAUCAGCUGUAAUUACAGAGUUGAAGCAAUUUGAAACCUGCCAAAACCGUGCACAUAUAAACAGCUUAUCUUUUCUAGGUUUUUGUUCUUGUCAUAGGAACUUCAUUCCUAACUUUACUGUCUUUGAGGCCCCACUCGGGGUUCUGAUGCAGACGUCUUCAUCGUCCACUUCUUGUCUCACGUGGAUGUCAGAGAUUGAACAACGUUCACUGACCUCAUGCUUGCUCUUUAGGCUCCUACUUUGGGUCUUCCUGAUCUGACCCUACGCGACCUUUCACUCAAACAGUGGAUGAGAAAUCAGAUUGUACGACUUCUGUUCUAUUGUCCUCAUACUGUGUCUUUGAUUCUUUUGAAAAACAUCACAUCUUUCUACAGCUCAAUGGCUUAGAUACAACACCACCUUGCUCAACAUGCUGAACGUUACUAUCAAGAGGCCGUCUUGAAGUCUAGUGCUUUGCUAAGACACUACUCUACUCAGGCUGCAGAGUUUAUCGCGUUGACUAAAGCUGGUUAACUAAAAGUCUGUUACCAUCUACACAGACUCCACAUAUGCUCUGUGGAAGCAUAGGAAGCUUUUGAAGUCUAAUUGCGAACCUAUCUCUCUCUCAUCGUGAAUAGGUUCCCGCUUUGCUGGACGCUGUCCUGCUGCCUACAGCUAAUGCUGUUUUUAACUGUCCGACUUACACCUUCAGUAACAAUUUUAUUUCUACCGACAUGCAGCUGCAGACGCUGCUGCGAAGGUUGCUGCCCAACAACCCCUCCCUCUCCUCGUUUCCUCUCUACCUCUCCUUCCUCAUCUCUCUCUCUCUCCCUGUGCUUUAAACAUUUUCUACCUCACAGGAACGCAGACUCUGGCUGACGAAUGGUUCCACCAGUAGCCAUGGAGUCUGGUUUGGGCCUGAUGGCAAACUGUGCUGCCCAAACACUUUUUCCCCACAAUUCAGAUUUCCCAACAGAUGAAAACAGGCGACAGGACCAUUACACCAUCCAACCAGGGGACUGGGCGAUCGUUAAGGAGUUCAGGAGGAAGCACUGGAACUCCAAACGGUGGCGAGGCCCCUUCCACGUCCUUCUGACGACCCACACGACUGUGAAGGUCAAAGAGAGAGCAACUUGGAUCCACUCCAUCUACUGCAGGAAGUUUCCCGGAUCCAACAGACGACCCUCCAUUUACAUCCCACGGAGAAAACCACCACUAACUAAAAGAACUGAGAAGGACGACCCUCGCUGUGCUCACACACGCACUGAGGCGAGGCUGCGUUGACCGUUCAGCUAAAGGUGUGAGCCAAGUGCCGCCUUAAGCUGCGCCGGUGAAUCACACUAUCAGACCAUACAUUUACGCACACGCUCCUGAGAAAACACACACACGAGCAGCCUUGAGUUGCCGACGCUGGACGACGUGUAGACUCUUCACAUCACGGGAGUGACAGUGACUCAGACGACAUUGGAAGGAAACCUGGCAGUGAUAACAAAUCCCAAGUGUCUCUGUGAUGAGCUGAUCACAACCUGAAGAACCCCAACAAACUGUCAAUACAUUAACACACAGGUUGGAAACAAUCUAACACACUCAACUCAACAGGAUGAAGCAGAUUGUUACGAGACAUCAGUUGUAACCUUGUUUUGUUAGACUUCAUCUUAUGUUACUUGGAUUGUUGCCUUUAUCAUAUGAUGUUUCUAUGUAACUUUACACACUACUUUUGAAUGAGAAAAUUUUACAUAAUUCACAACACUGGGUUUAAAUAUCCUAAAGUUGAUUUGGUGUUUAAUUUGCUCACAAUCACUUUGUCAUCUGUAGAUGAAGGAUAAAAAGUAAUUAUAGCAGUGACUAGAGGUUAUGAGACAAAACGCAUCGUCAUUCUGGUUAAAUCCCUGAAUCUCCUAUUCGCUUUAGACGCAAAUGUACAAUUAAAGAUCCGAAAGCAUGAAAUCUAUCUUAGGAUUAUAUAAAACAGAACCCCACCGGAAACCUAUGGCUAUCAUACAUUAAUUGUCUUUAUUACAUUACAGUUGAAUGGCCGUAGACACGUUGUUAGCAGAGAAAAGAGGCGUUUGUGUUAUGUUUGGAGAGGCAUGUUGUACUUACAUCCUGAAUAACACUGAUUCUAAUGGUAUUGUGGCGAAGGCGCUCCACGGCCUUCAGAGUCUCAGCUAACUCUGGUAUAGGUUCUUUCCCUUGGAAUUGGCUAGACGAAAUGUCUGGAAAAUGGAAAUCUGUUCUCAUGUCCGCAGCUGUUUCCUUUAUCAUUGAGAUAGCUUUGAUUGUCUUGUCUGGUUUUUGCGUUAUCCCACUGGUUAGAGGUCUCAUCAUGCGUGUGACCUCAGCAACACUCUCAUAUCAAAUGACACAAUGCACUAUGUUCAAAAACCCCAACUCUAACUCACUUAAUGACUUUGACGAUGGUCUUAGGCUAUCGGAUCACAAAAUAUAAUCUGAUACAAAUAUGACUAUUGGCUUAUUUUCUUCACAUGCCAAUACAGAGGUUAUUCUUGUAUAACUACCCACCAAAAACAGCUCCCAACCUUUUGUCCCUAAGUUACUUGCAUCUAAUGUGAAGGUGUAUUUUAGAUCUUGAUGAGUUAAUACUCUCAUUGUUUCAUUUGCAAGGGUCUUUUUAUUAUUACAGAAUGCGAUGUUGACAAUUUUUUUUCUUUUAGUGUUUGAUUAAUGUGUAAUCAAAAGGGGGGAGUGUUAUGGGGAAAAUUGUUUCUUCCUUAUUUCUAUGCAGUUAUUAUAUAUGUUCUGCAAUUAAUAUCUUAUGUUUUGUCUUACUGUAUGCAUUUGACAUUUCACCUAGUUUGUUCAAUGGUUGUCUCUGCCUGAUAGACUCUCAACUCUAGCUCCCAAACCCAAGGUCGAGGAGUUGUGUCUCUGUCUGUUGAGAAUUGGUGCUCCUUUCUCACAGAUAGUUGGACGUCAGUGAUGCAGGUGUGAGAAUGUAAAUAUCUUCACACACACUGCGACAGGGAGGAGAUGGUGCAUGUAAUUUGAUUGGGUUAGAAAGACAUUCCACCCUAGUCGGACAGAGAAGCUAAAAGGCAGAAGCAACUUGAGGAUCGUGGGCUCUUUGCAUCACACUUUCGUGGUGUGUGCACUGAUCUCCCCAGCUUGUUUUUGGUUUGUUGAUGUGCAAGAUCAACAUCCAUGCUUUUGUUUGCUUUCCCCAUUAUUUUUAUUUUCCUUUUAUUUUUAUAAUAAAUUACACAAAAGACAACUUUCUCAUCUGCUUCUUUAUGGGGAAAUUUCCACCACACCUGCGUGAGCACCUGGUGUUAUCUUGUGAUAUAUAAAGUUCUGCUAUUCAUUGGGGGCAUGUAUUAAGUGUUACAUUUGUAUAAGACAUUGCAUUGUAUAAGACAAACCAUUGUUUUGUUAUCUGAAUUCAUGUGUGUGUGCUAAUGAAGUGAACCAAUGUAUAGUCUAGUAACUGUACAUCUGCAUCAUCUCUUUUCCAUAAAUGUGAAGGGAUCUGUUGUAAUUCAUCUUGAUUCACCUCAAGGUCAACAUAACAUAAUUCUGAUAUAUAGGGCUUUCCUCUAAGGUCGGCUGUGUCAGAGCUCUACGUCCACUUCCUGUUUUAGCGCAGUAGUUCCGGUUUUGUUGCAUCAUUCUGUCCUCGCUACCUUUUUAUUUCCGGUUUUAUUUUGUAAGCACUUACGUUUCUCGUCACGCCACAGCAGUUCCUGCUUUACUUCUGGUUUUCAGUUACGCAUCUGUGUCUCAUCUGUCAUUACUCACCAGGACAUUUAAACACCACCUGUUUCCUUAGUUCUCCGCCAGAUCGUUGUACUCCUACCGUCACUUUCCAGCAUUCUAUUGACAGCUUAGCUCGUGUUUGACCCUGCUCCGUAUUUUUUGACUUCUGAUUCUCGCCUGAUCCUGACCUGGUAUUGUACACUGUGAUUUCUGUUAUUCGACCCGUGCCUGUCCUCUGGAAGUGACCUAGCCUGCUCCUUCUGUGCCUAUGUCUUCAUGUUUUCAAGUGUAUAACCCGGACUGUUUUGAGACUACAAUUCCCGCAUUAAAGCCCUUUUAAUUACUUCCUCUGUCUGCUGCGUUUCGCAGUGCAUGCGGGUCCGAUCUCUACCAAGACCUGACAGGCUGUGGGCACAGUCUGGGUUGUCCAGUUCAGAGCUAUCCUCUUCCAGCCUGUUGUAGGGCUGUAUUGUUUUGCUGUGGUUGCCAGUCAUGCGCUCUGUUAACAACCUCAUCUGCGGCAUAGCCCACAUCAUUCCAGGUUUGAACCUUUGCUCAAAGAAACAUGAGGCACAUUUCUGUUACAGUAGACUCCUUCCUGUUUCUGGUUCAGUUCACAUGUCAAAAAGGCCACGUUUGUCUUCCAGCACAAACAUUUUAUUUUCAAAAAUGGUCCUACUUUUUCUUGCAACUGUUUAGCCUGAUACAUGGUCAUAUCUGUAUGUACUGCAAUGUAAAUUCUCUGGGUCCUGAUAAUGUCCACUAUAGACUCUACUUUUUGUCAUUCUCGCUAUUUCAUUACGUUUCUGUGGGUUCAUUCUUUAGGUCAAGGCUGUACCAGUAACAGGGUUCUCCCCUCUCAUAUAGUACAAAAUUAUGUGUUUGUCUGAUACGUUCAAUGAUCAGUCUCCCUUCUAUAGGGACUAUAGUCAACUUCAGUUUGGGAAUUGCGUCUCUCCCCAAUAAUUUUACUGGAGAAGAUGGGCUAUAUAAAUCAUGUACAAUAGCCUUAGUUCCUGUAACUGGAUCAAUCAAGGCAAAGGCUUCUGUUACUGCCAUGUCAAUGUCUCUGUUUGCUGAUUGCACCAUAACUUCACUUUUGCCUAAAUGUUGUUUGACUCAAAUGCCGUUUAACACUGUCUUAAUGGCUCCAGUGUCCACUAAAAACUUCUCUUUUUUUACCAAGGACGGUUAAAGUGACUUGAGGGUAGUCAUGCAUGUGAAACAGUCUUUCUGCCAAAUUUAUUUUUAAUUGUUCUUCAGUGAGUUCAUCAUUCCAAUCUGUCUCUUCUUUCUCUAUUUGGUGGGUUAGUCGUGUGUCACAUUUGCAGUCACGUGCCCAAUGUCCUGUCUCCCCACAUUGCCAACAAACAUUCUUAUUUCUCUAGAGUUUCUAUCUCGUCCACACCUAAAUGGUCAUCCACCACGUCUUCUAAACCUUUCUCUGCCACGUCCUCUCUGCUCUCUGUUAUCUUGCCAAUAACAUUCUUCAUUGUCUGCAACAAACGCUGUCGCUUUUACUUUGUCUUUGUUUUUCAUGAGUCUUUUAGCAUGCCUUGCAUGGUCCAAAAAUGUGUUCAAUGUGCAGUUGGGCAGGUAUACUAGACUCUUUUCUACCUUUUUCUUCAAGUCCAAUCUUAGAUCUCUGGUAGACAGCAUUUUUGUUGCUGAUUGUAAGGCCCAAUUUGGUCAUUGUUAGGUUGAAGACCACUAUGAACUUCAAACAGCAGGUAUUCUAUUGUCAAAGUAUUCAACAUUUUCAUUCUCUUUUUGGCAUGUGAAAUUAAUUUUUGCCCAGUGUGUUCUCUGGGGACACUGAGAUUUAUAUCUGUCAUAAAAACUUUGUAGUCAUGCCUUCAGGUCAGCAUUUCCAUAAGGCAAUAGAUCGUUUCGGUUAACUAAAGGAUUCCAAUCUCCUUUGAUCAAGAUCCACUUUCCUGCCACUAUUUGCCUAAUUACCUUGAUUGAUUCAAGUUCUUUUUCCUGGUGUUUAGUUUUUUCAGCUUUCUUCUUUUGUGUUCUGGUUUGCACUCCACUUCCUGUCCCUGUCUCUCCCCCCACUGCCCCUAACUCAUUAAGACCGGCGUAAAUUGACGUUUUUGGACCUACUGAAAUUAAAGAACAUUUUAUUUAA